CAAUAGCGUAUAUUAAAGUUGUUGCAGUUAAAAAGCUCGUAGUUGGAUUUCUGGUUGAAGCGACCGGUCGGGCGUUGAUUCGUCUGCACUGAGUCGGUUUUGGCCAUCCUCUAGGAAAGUGCGUCUGGUAUUAAGUUAUCGGGCGUAUGAUCCUGGUCUUUUACUGUGAAAAAAUUAGAGUGUUUAAAGCAGGCCUUCGCCUUGAAUACAUUAGCAUGGAAUAAUGAGAUAGGACUUUGGUCUAUUUUGUUGGUUUGCAGACCGAAGUAAUGAUUAAUAGGGAUAGUUGGGGGUAUUUAUAUUCCGAUGUCAGAGGUGAAAUUCUUAGAUUUUCGGAAGAUAAACUUAUGCGAAAGCAUUUACCAAGGAUGUUUUCAUUAA
rnacentral:rRNA from 1 species